GGGACCUCUGCUCCGCUCGCCCCCGGCUGCCAGACGCGCGCGGGGCUUCGGCCCUCCGCUGGGGGGCGCCUCGCCGCCUGCCCUCCGCCGCGCGGCGUUCCAGGAGUGGAAGCGGCGGGCAGGCUGACUCAGGCGCCUCGAGGAAGCUGACAUGGUUGUUGAAGCACUUGUCCAAGAUGCAGUCUAAAUGUCUAUCAUUUAAAUGAAGUUAAAUGAGGUUAAAUGAAGUAUGGAUGAGCCAGAGGAAGACUAUACAACUACAAAAAGGGGUCAUAGCAGCAUACGAAAUAAAAAGGUACAGAAGGGGAUGGAAUGAAAGGAAAUCUCUCCUACUUUUGAUGGCGAGCCACUCCUCCUCCUCCCUGGACGCCAAUUUUCUGGGCUCAAAGGGAUCAAACCUGUACCCUCUGCAGUGGAAGCUUGGCCUCCUAAUCACUGGACUGCCAAAGAAGUCUCUAACUAAUUUUAUUUUGAACAGUGUGAGUGGCUGCCCCAACUAGUCUUUCUGUGUGUUGAGAACUGGUAAUAGUGUCACUUACAGCUGCUGCCAACUGCGACUGGGGUUGUCUGAAGACUGAGUUAUGUGUGCUUAGAAGACUGUGCCUGGUGCUUAGAACACUGCUUGUCCCAUGUCCCUCUACCCAUUUUGUUCUGGUAAAUGGCUUACUGCAAGUCACCACCUUCUCCAUAAUACUUAGGAGAGGCGAGCGGCGCUUGGGACACUCGGCCGGCGGAAGUGGAGGAGUGGAACGCGCGUCUGGAGACCUCUACCCCUGCUCCGGCGCUGGGGGGCUGUCCUCCGGCGCCCCCCGGGAUCGUAGUCUGGGUCGGGGGUCGGGGUGGGGGGCAUACUCCCCACUCCCGCCCUCCCCGCCGCCCGCCUUUGAUUACGGCUAGCAGCGAAUCGCCGAGCAAAUUAACUUUUUGCACACUUCAUUAUGCGCCGCCCCGCGUCCCCCCGGGGCCGCGGCCCCGCCCCCGCCCCGCGCCGACAACUUGAUUGGGCAAUUAAUCUUCGCGCCCCCCCCGCCCCCCGCAGCCCGACCCGGGCCUUUGUGCGCCUGCACGCGGGCCGCCGGCGCCCGCCCGGACGCCGGGUCUGCUGGCGCUGAUAAGGCGCGCGCGCCGCCCGGCCCCCGCCUUUGUCCGCGCGCGGGGAGGCGCGGCCGUCGCUGCCGUCUAGCACCCCGUCAGCGCGCCCCCGCCCCCUCGGCUCGGUCCAUCUGUUUGAGCUGCGCAAUCCUCCAGCGGCCUGGCGGGGGAGGGGUCUCGCUCUCGGGCCGGGAGCCAGCACCCCCUCCACCCGGUCGCUCCCUGUGUAGGAGUGACGCCCCCAGCCCCCGAGAAACACACACGCGCGCGCACACACACACACAGCGCCCAAUUAAGCAGCGCGGUAGUAAUUAAGAAGUGGGGGGCGCGAGGCACAGCAGCAGUCUAAGGAAUGGAGGGGUUUCCGAGCUGUGUCCAAAAAAAGAAGGGGCCCUGCCACCCAUUCUGUACCCAGGUGUGUGACCUCUGGUUACACGCUUGGGGCUCUGCAGACUCGGAUGGCUGUGGUUGGGGUAGGAGGAGAGAAGGAGAGGCCCUGGGAAUUUCUCUGAUAAGUCAUGCUUCUUUGUGCAUUUUUUUCUGGUGUUUUGCCAGCAAUUGACCCAGCCUCAAAAAGGCAGCCUGUGAUUAGUGAGUGUUGAGAACCCGGGCCCUAAAUGGAAGCUAAAUGCAGGACGAUUGUAGAGACCAAUAGCAAGGUGGUUUAGAAAGAGCUCCCAACUCACUGUGGGAGGCUGUGUUUCAGGUAACAGCUCUGUGCCCAGGGGUGGUGGAGGCCACGGGCUGUCAGCGCUGGGCAUCCAGCAUGUGCUCACCGGUGUUGGUUCUUGGGAUUUUCUCUGGCCUUCCCUGGACGACACAGGCCAGGGACUGAAAGCUGAUGGGUGAAAGAUGAUGCUGAAAACAGGCUCUUGAGUUUCCUCCUGCUCCAGGGCCAGUGGGCAUGGGUGCAAAGCUUGUGGUCUGUGCAGAGCUUAGGGCUGGGGUGUGUGUGUGUGUGUGUGUGUGUGUGCAUGCUUAGGGCUGGGGUGUGUGUGUGUGUGUGUGUGUGUGUGUGUGUGUGCGCGCGCGCGCGCCCUGGGAAGUGUCUGCACCAGCUUGUGAAGGGUUCGAGUUUUGUUUGAGUAAAGGAUUCUUAGCCUUCACUAGUGCUCAUAAUAAGGGUGUGACCCAGUGUGCACAGAAUCUCUGAGGAGGGGGCUGGCAAAGCAGCUUCAUCUGGGCAAUCCACCAGCAAUGCUGACUGAACACUCACUGUUUGCAGAGUUCACAAGGGCGCCCCUAGAUGCUAGGACAGCGUGAGCAAAGCAGAGCUGCUUGCUGUCCUCACAGGCUCACAAUCUAGUCUGAGAGAGGGAUGAGAAAGCAGAUAAACACAGAAGUCAUGAGAUAAUAGAGCUGGAGAUUAAAAUAAAGCAGGACAACUGAGUUGGUGUGUGGGGGAGAUUAAAAUAAAGCAGGACAACUGAGUUGGUGUGUGGGUCCCACUUGCUGGACACCCCCUCCCCACCACCACCCGGAUGCCCCGAUGCCCCGGUAAUGAAGUCUGCACUCUGGAAUGUAGGGACCUGGGCCGCCCUGACUCUCUGCAACCCAUCUCUCUACUCCCUGGGACCUAGACCCCCCAGCCAGUUCUGUGGCCAUCCCAGGGGCAGGGUCGCUGGGAUGAUGGGCAGGCUCAGUCUGCUGUGGGCUCUCCCCCUUAUUCCUGUGCAGGUGGUGGUGGUGGUUCCUUCGGAUAAUGACAGCCUCCAGUCUUGCAUGACGGAAAGGCCUCACGGGUUUAUAGUCCAGAAGGGGCCCUGUGAGCAGAAGCUGAAUUAAAAUGGAGAAAUACAGCUUCCCCUUCCUCCCCUCCUCUCCCUCCCCCCGCCCAACUUCCCUCAUUCCCACAGCCCCUGAGGCCAUGGGUGAAUAGUUUCUUAGUCCAUUUGCCUUGCUAAGCUGAGUUAGUGAGCUGGGAAUAUACCUCCCUAUGCAAAGAGUCAGACACGACUGAGCGACUGAACUGAUGGAUACUAAAGUUAGGAGACACCCAGAACCAGCAAGUGGAAUAAAGAGAAUACUGCUUGACUCUGAAUGCACCACCCCUCCACUCCCCAGUACAGACUAAGUUUAGAUCCCUUGUCAACUCUAGUCCCCGAUUCUAAUGUUCUGGCUCUAAACAUUCUAAGACUUCAGAGUUGUAGACUCUGACAUUCUAGAAUAUUAACAUCCUAUGCAUCUUACAUGACCAUUCUGGAUGUCUAUGAUUUCUGCCCUUGUGUUCUAGAAUUCUGGGACCCCAAUAUUGAUUUUUGUUGGGGUCUACUCAUUGAAGUAACAAAAGAGAAAGACUCCAUGCAGAGUCACAUGAGUUGUCAUAAUGAUAGCAACUAACAGUCUUUCAAUCAUGCUUUUAUUCAACAGUUCUUUUUGUUGUUGUUGUUUAAAGAAUCUUUUAAGUGCCAGACACUGUUCUUGGAUUAUACAAAUAAAUUUAAAUAUUAAAAAAUAGACAAAUACACAAUUUGUUAGAAGAUGACAUGCGCAGGAGAGAGGGGUUGGGAAUGAGGGAGCACAAUUCAAAUUGGUGGUCAAGGUAGGACUUACUAAGAAAGUAAUAUUUGAUUUUCUAUUUAUUCUUUCAUUUAUUGAAAGUUGAAAUCUCGUUGUAUAACUAUGGAUUUGUUUCUCCUUGAAGGUCUACCAGCUUUUGCUGUACAUAUUUUACAUCUCUGCCAUUAGGAGUAUAAACAUUUAAAAUUGUUUUAUGCUCUUAAUUAAUCAAUCCAUUACUUGUUAUGAAAUGACCUUUUCUAUCCCUGGUAAGAUUCUUUGCUCUGAAAUGAACUUUGUCUGAUAUUAACCUAACCACUCUAGUGUUCUUUUAGUUAGUGUUAGUAUGGUUUAUCUUUUCAAAUCCUUGUACUUUUAACUUGUGUCUUUAUAUCUGAAGUGGAUGUGUGGUUUUGUUUUUGUUUUGGUAGAUGACAUGUAUUUGGGUCUUUAUAAAAAUUCAAUCUGACAAUCUCUGCUUUUUAAUUGGGAGUGUUUAGACCAUUUACAUUUAAUGUGAUUACUGAUAUGAUUCAAUUUAAGCCUAUUAUCUCAUAUUUGCUUUCUCUGUCCCAUUUGCUCUUUCCUUUUCUUCUUUUUCUGCCUCAUUUCUUUCUUUCUUUUUUAUUUUGACAAUUUUUAAAAGU